rnacentral:rRNA from 1 species
UCGAGGGGCAGCGAGUAGAUUGCUUGCAAUCUACGUCGGCGACCGGCGCACGGGUGCGUAACGCGUAUGCAACCUACCCAUUACAGGGGGAUAACACUGAGAAAUCGGUACUAAUACCCCAUAACAUCCAGGGAGGCAUCUUCUUGGGUUGAAAACUCCGGUGGUAAUGGAUGGGCAUGCGUUGUAUUAGUUAGUUGGUGGGGUAACGGCUCACCAAGACGACGAUACAUAGGGGGACUGAGAGGUUAACCCCCCACAUUGGUACUGAGACACGGACCAAACUCCUACGGGAGGCAGCAGUGAGGAAUAUUGGUCAAUGGACGCAAGUCUGAACCAGCCAUGCCGCGUGCAGGAAGACGGCUCUAUGAGUUGUAAACUGCUUUUGUACGAGGGUAAACGCAGAUACGUGUAUCUGUCUGAAAGUAUCGUACGAAUAAGGAUCGGCUAACUCCGUGCCAGCAGCCGCGGUAAUACGGAGGAUUCAAGCGUUAUCCGGAUUUAUUGGGUUUAAAGGGUGCGUAGGCGGUCGGAUAAGUUAGAGGUGAAAUCCCGGGGCUCAACUUCGGAAUUGCCUCUGAUACUGUUCGGCUAGAGAGUGGUUGCGGUAGGCGGAAUGUAUGGUGUAGCGGUGAAAUGCUUAGAGAUCAUACAGAACACCGAUUGCGAAGGCAGCUUACCAAGCUACUUCUGACGUUGAGGCACGAAAGCGUGGGGAGCAAACAGGAUUAGAUACCCUGGUAGUCCACGCAGUAAACGAUGAUAACUC